AGAAUAUAAUCCACCAUUAGCCAACAAUCCUUCAAGAAAUGAACCUGGCUACCAGGACAAACAACCGAUUACAGAGCAUUACCAAUCAUCAAUUGAAAAUUCUACCCACUUCAAUUUAAAUCCAGUAUUGGAAUUUGACGCACCUGGGCAUCAGGGUUACACAGACCAUGAACUGCCAAUCUCUGAUACUCCGUACGUGUUCAGCCCAACCCCUCCUGCUGAACAUGUUAGUGCAGGAAAGACACAAUUUUCAGAAUAUGAGCUGCCAACGUCAGACACUUCAUAUGUUUUCAGUUCAGACCUAGUAA